rnacentral:rRNA from 1 species
UACAGAGGUCUCGAGCGUUGUUCGGAUUCAUUGGGCGUAAAGGGCUCGUAGGCGGUUUGUCGCGUCGGGAGUGAAAACCUACAACUUAACUGUGGGCUUGCUUUCGAUACGGGCAGACUUGAGGCAUGCAGGGGAGAACGGAAUUCCUGGUGUAGCGGUGAAAUGCGCAGAUAUCAGGAGGAACACCGGUGGCGAAGGCGGUUCUCUGGGCAUGUUCUGACGCUGAGGAGCGAAAGUGUGGGGAGCGAACAGG